CUUCAGCGACCCCAGCCACAACGGCCGGUCCCCGGGCCGGUCCCGGCCGUACACGGCGAGCAGCGCCCGCGCCUC
rnacentral:antisense_RNA from 1 species